CUCUUUGUAAAGAGAGAUGGGCCACUCCGCCCCCCCCAACACCCUGGGGUGCCAAGUUUCCCAGAAUGGCAGCAGGAUUGGGGUGGUCAGAGGCCAAAGAAGAAAAGAAGCAAGAUGGAAAGACUUCUGCUCAGAGAGAUGAAGUCACCAGAGCGGCUGAAGCAACAAAGCACAUACCCAAGAAGGGGCUCUCCAGGGGCAGGAGGAAGAAGACCUUCGAAGGGACCCUCUCCUCAGUGAGUAUGUGCUGCCUGAGGGGAACAGGGUGAGAAUUCUGGGCCCUCGGUCUUGCUGGCUGCUCCCCUGGCCCACCCCAAACAGCCAAGGACUCUAUUGCUUUGUGAGGAUGCAGGGACCCAGAAUGGGCAGUUGCAACUCUGAGGAGGACUCCAGGCAGCGAGAGGAAGGUGAUGCAGGAGACCCGGAGCUCACCCAGGUGGGAAUAUUUUGAGCCCUGGUCAGGAGACUUGACCCCACUAAUCAGGUGGUAAAUCCAGCUUUGGGGAGCCAAUUGUAAGAUAAGAAUGACAAUUUGUCUUCAGUGCCACAGAGUCAUGGAGAGGCAGGAAUGGGGAGGCUGAGCGCACACAUGGAGACAAAUGGGAGCCAGCUGCACACUGGCCUCAUAAGAGCAGGGGCGCACUCCAGUCCAGGGGCUUCCGGGGGACGUAGGAGGUGGCAUAGGAGGUGUUAAUGGAGAUGAUCAGGGAAUUCUCUAAUGCACCUGUUGCUUGUUCCAACUCUCCAAGGGCCUUUCAAGAUGUGGGAGAAAAACAAAGGUAAGGGUAGAAGUGGAGUUGUGUAGAUUGGAAUCUUCAUAAGAA
rnacentral:lncRNA from 1 species